rnacentral:hammerhead_ribozyme from 1 species
AUCCGACUGAAGAGUCCCAAAUAGAACGAAACGCGUGUCCUGGAU